GCAGCUUUUCAAGCAUGAGAGAAAAGUAGGACUGGCUUCAAAAGCAAUGAUUAUUUUAUGGGAAUUACUCCAGCAAGGUGGGGAGGGACCAAGAAAUUCAUUUUUUCAAGAUCGAAAAACACACUCAAGUUUCCUUGGGAUUCAUUUCUCCUACAGAGCUCAAAAAACAAUGAGAGCAACUCUGCAGCUCCAGUUCUGUCACCAAGCUUUUUUCAGAUGAGGGUCUCAAAUAUCUGAGCAGAGAAAGGUUGUUUCACUUUGGAGUGAAAACAAGUGGAAAUGUGGUCUCCUUCCAGAUUUGGAAAUGCUGCUUCAGUGGUGACAGAGCACCUUUAGCAAACCCCUCAGCUGAGCUACAAAAAGAGGCCAGGUUUGUAAGCAGCUUGACCUGUUUCUCAUUUUCAUGCCAAAUUGCUCCUUCACUCCAUCGUCUCCUCCGGGCAGAAAGAGGAGUAUGUGGAGGAGACUGUCAGGCUGAUGGUUCCUGACAGCCCUACAAAGCAUUUCUGCUUUCUAAGGAAAAUAAAGGCCAGCCAGACUGCCUUGUAACCAACAGUCCUGCCUCAGGAGGCUGCCCACCCAAAGCAUGGGGCAGAGCAGAACUCGAUCCAGCAGCCACUUCCCUGGAAUUCAGGCUGAACCAGAGCAGCACUGGAGGGUGGGAGGGAGCUGCAGGAGCUUUGGCAAGCCCCAAGCCUUUCAGUCUGGCUGUGAACAGUGGCACCGAGCCACUCCUUCAGCCCAGCUCCUCAGGCCUGCCCGGACACAGACAGUGAGUGGAUGCAAGGAUGUGCUGCUCAGGGCUGGUCUGAGCCUGUCCUUGGCUCUACUCACAGCUCAAGCAGACUCGGUCACCAAGUGCUGCUAAACCGACUGCCAGCCAUGCUCAGCCACCAUCAAUUAAUGAGAGAGACAAGGCCACCUACACUGUGAUGGCACACCGUGCACUGUAGCUCUAUAUUUACAUGACAUUCACAGGGGGUCAUUCUGAGGGCAUGGACCCCUAGAGAAGCUGACAACACCCAAGAUCAGAAGUGAAGUUAGAAUCACGUGUGUGCAUUCAGGCUGUGGUGAGCGUGAGGAUCU